rnacentral:lncRNA from 1 species
AAAGCACUAGCAGCAUGCAGAAAAUGGAUGGAUCAGGGAUCUGAUUCCUGAAUAGUCCAUCAUCUGGCUCUCAAAGCAGAGGACAAGACAACAGGAGACACCACUGGGAGGUCAGAAUAUAAGAGAGAACUCCUAGGCAACUGUUCUGCUGCCUCUCUGCCCAUGUCAGGGACUGAGUCUGUCAUUCCCACAGUUGCUCCCUUGACCUAGGGCAACUCGGUUAUCUCAGAUAACUUUGGUCCCCAAGGUUUCUAAGAGCAGUCUACUGUUAAUCCCUGGUUGGCUCAACAGUCUCCUGUGGCUCCCUGAACUAAUAACUCCCCAAUUAGUCUUUUACUAGACUUCAUUAUUUGAACUGAGUUAAAUUCCGUAUCCACAACUCUGCCUGAUAUGACACACAAUCACAGUGCUGCGUUGAAGAUUUUCAGCAUCCUAUCACUCCUUUUGAAUCUCAGUUUCUUUGUCUUACUGAGCAACCAGCCUGCCAAGUAAGCAGAACUUUGACCUGCAACCCAGCAAGUCUUCAAUCUGUGUGUUUAGGACACAAUCACUUUCUCCUGCCAACACAGGCUCCAGUUUCCUUAACAACUGAAUGCAAAGUUCAGCUAAACCAGUGGUGCUCCAAGUGGGGGCCACAGUCUCCAGGGGUUCCCAAGAUCCUGUUAGGAAUUCUCAAAAGUCAAGGCUACUUUCAUAGCUCUAAGGACUUACUUAUUUACCUUGUAUUUCCACUUGAUGACAUUACUAAUGGGACACAGUCAUGGUAGAUAACACUGUGCAUUCAAGGUUCAAGACCAAGGUACCAAUGGCACUCCUAUUGAAUUCUGCCACACCCUCCAAGUCUGGGUAAAAAUUUCACUCAGGAAUAGUCUUAAUGCAGUACUUGGAAAUGUUAAUUUUAUUAAAUCCUGAGCCUUUGCCCUGUCCUGUUUCAGUUUCUGGUACUCUUAUUGACAAGAAUGAGAACCAGACUCUAAGUAUUUCCACCUUAUUCUGAGAUAUAAAGGGAGUCACCCCCAAGGAGAAGGCAGACACAUGGUUGAAUUAUUAUCUGGACACUUUCCCACUAUUUCCACUCAGAAAAUAAGCAAACUAUGGCUGCUAACACUGAGACAUCUGGAAGACAUUUUUCGAAAAGAAUGAACCAAGUGUGGCUGUUCUAAAAUAGAUAACUGAUAAUAUUUGUUCUAAGUAAUAUGAGUUGUGCUUGCAAGCAUGGUAACUUCCCAGUAUUUAAAGGCUGUUCUGAUGAGACCAGCCAUGAUAUUAAAAAGUCAUGUGUUGCUAUAUGGUGAAAGGUGUUGACAUCCAAACAACCAUCUAAUGUAAUUUAAUGGGAUCCAUCAAAAGGCUUCUUCCUGGGGCCGAAGAGAUGGCUCAGUGGUUAAGAGUCCUUGUUCUUCUGGCACAGAACCUGGAUCCAGUACACUUACAUGGUGGCUAAUAGCCAUCUAUAACUACAGUUCUGGAACAUCUGGUCUCCAUGGGCACUGCACACACAUGGUACACAGACAUGCACGGAGGCAAAAGAGCCAUACACAUAAAAUAGAUAAAAAUCUCUAAAAAUAAAAAACAUUUGUCCUUAGUGUGCAAGCUUUGGACAGAGAGUCAGAGCCAUUUACUUGGUGUCUGAGCUCAAUUGUCUAUAUCUCAGCCAUAAAGAGAGUAUUUUUUUUAUUUCCUCAUCUGUAAAGUGACCUUGCCUGGCUAGAAAAAAACUAAAUAAAUAAUAUAUGGGU